rnacentral:rRNA from 1 species
UGGGGAAUUUUGCACAAUGGGGGAAACCCUGAUGCAGCGACGCCGCGUGAUUUAGAAGGCCUUCGGGUUGUAAAAAUCUUUUCUAUGGGAAGAAAAUGACAGUACCAUAGGAAUAAGGACCGGCUAAUUACGUGCCAGCAGCCGCGGUAAUACGUAAGGUCCGAGCGUUGUCCGGAAUCAUUGGGCGUAAAGGGUACGUAGGCGGGUAAGCAAGUUAGAAGUGAAAUCCUGUAGCUCAACUACAGUAAGCUUUUAAAACUGCUCAUCUUGAGAUAUGGAAGGGAAAGUGGAAUUCCUAGUGUAGCGGUGAAAUGCGCAGAUAUUAGGAAGAAUACCGGUGGCGAAGGCGACUUUCUGGCCAUAAUCUGACGCUGAGGUACGAAAGCGUGGGUAGCAAACAGG